UACGUAGGGUGCAGGCGUUAAUCGGAAUUACUGGGCGUAAAGCGUGCGCAGGCGGUUUCUUAAGUCAGAUGUGAAAGCCCCGGGCUUAACCUGGGAACUGCGUUUGAAACUGGGAGACUUGAGUGUGGCAGAGGGGGGUGGAAUUCCACGUGUAGCAGUGAAAUGCGUAGAUAUGUGGAGGAACACCGAUGGCGAAGGCAGCCCCCUGGGCCAACACUGACGCUCAGGCACGAAAGCGUGGGGAGCAAACAGG
rnacentral:rRNA from 1 species